rnacentral:rRNA from 1 species
UACGUAGGGGGCUAGCGUUGUCCGGAAUCAUUGGGCGUAAAGAGCGUGUAGGCGGCCCGGUAAGUCCGCUGUGAAAGUCGGGGGCUCAACCCUCGAAAUGCCCGGUGGAUACUGUCGGGCUAGAGUGCGGAAGAGGCGAGUGGAAUCCUGGUGUAGCGGUGAAAAUGCGCAGAUAUCAGGAGGAACACCGAUGCGAAGGCAGCUCGCUGGGACGUCACUGACGCUGAGACGCGAAAGCGUGGGGGAGCAAACAGGG